rnacentral:rRNA from 1 species
UACGUAGGGUGCGAGCGUUGUCCGGAAUCAUUGGGCGUAAAGAGCGCGUAGGCGGCCAGAUAAGUCCGGUGUGAAAGUCACAGGCUCAACCUGUGAAUGCCGCUGGAAACUGUCUGGCUAGAGUCCGGAAGGGGCGAGUGGAAUUCCUGGUGUAGCGGUGAAAUGCGCAGAUAUCAGGAGGAACACCAAUGGCGAAGGCAGCUCGCUGGGACGGUACUGACGCUGAGGCGCGAAAGCGUGGGGAGCAAACAGG